GUGAGUCAUCGAGUCUUUGAACGCAAAUUGCGCUCCUUGGUAUUCCGAGGAGCAUGCCUGUUUGAGUGUCAUGAAAUCAUCCACCUCUACUUUCGGCCUUUGCCUGGGGUCUUGGCUGGGACUUGGGCGUCUGCGCGUGAUGAACUCGCUCGCCUUAAAACGAUUGAUCUGGACUUUGGCCUUUGGCUGGUUUGACUAGGCGUUAUAAGUUAUUUCGCUUAGGACAUCCCUCGGGAGUGGCCGUUCGAAUGGACAAGGUCUCGGCCUCCGAGCGAUCCACGCUCGAUGAAGCAUAUUUUUGACAUCUGGCCUCAAAUCAGGUAGGACUACCCGCUGAACUUAAGCAUAUCAAUAAGCGGAGG
rnacentral:rRNA from 1 species